CCUACGGGAGGCAGCAGUGGGGAAUCUUGCGCAAUGGGCGAAAGCCUGACGCAGCAACGCCGCGUGCGGGAAGAAGGCUUUCGGGCUGUAAACCGCUUUCAGCAGGAACGAAAAUGACGGUACCUGCAGAAGAAGGAGCGGCCAACUAUGUGCCAGCAGCCGCGGUGAUACAUAGGCUUCAAGCGUUGUCCGGAUUUAUUGGGCGUAAAGAGUUCGUAGGCGGUCGAGUAAGUCGGGUGUGAAAAUUCUGGGCUCAACCCAGAGACGCCACCCGAUACUGCUUAACUUGAGUUCGAUAGGGGAGUGGGGAAUUCCUAGUGUAGCGGUGAAAUGCGCAGAUAUUAGGAGGAACACCGGUGGCGAAGGCGCCACUCUGGAUCGAUACUGACGCUGAGGAACGAAAGCAUGGGUAGCAAACAGGAUUAGAUACCCUGGUAGUCCAUGCCGUAAACGGUGGGCACUAGGUGUGGGAUUCUAUUAACGAAUUCCGCGCCGUCGCUAACGCAUUAAGUGCCCCGCCUGGGGAGGUACGGUCGCAGACUAAACUACAAGAGUAGUAGACGNGNGAGACGCGACGACGACGACGACGGAGGAGAG
rnacentral:rRNA from 1 species